rnacentral:tRNA from 1 species
GCCGCUAUGGUGAAAUUGGUAGACACGCUGCUCUUAGGAAGCAGUGCUAAAGCAUCUCGGUUCAAGUCCGAGUAGCGGCA